GAGGCUGUAGCUCAGCCCGGUUAGAGCACUGCUCUGAUAAGGCAGGGGUCCCAAGUUCAAAUCUUGGCAGCCUCA
rnacentral:tRNA from 2 species